CCUACGGGAGGCAGCAGUGGGGAAUAUUGCACAAUGGGCGCAAGCCUGAUGCAGCGACGCCGCGUGAGGGAUGGAGGCCUUCGGGUUGUAAACCUCUUUUAUCGGGGAGCAAGCGUGAGUGAGUUUACCCGUUGAAUAAGCACCGGCUAACUACGUGCCAGCAGCCGCGGUAAUACGUAGGGUGCAAGCGUUAUCCGGAAUUAUUGGGCGUAAAGGGCUCGUAGGCGGUUCGUCGCGUCCGGUGUGAAAGUCCAUCGCUUAACGGUGGAUCCGCGCCGGGUACGGGCGGGCUUGAGUGCGGUAGGGGAGACUGGAAUUCCCGGUGUAACGGUGGAAUGUGUAGAUAUCGGGAAGAACACCAAUGGCGAAGGCAGGUCUCUGGGCCGUUACUGACGCUGAGGAGCGAAAGCGUGGGGAGCGAACAGGAUUAGAUACCCUGGUAGUCCACGCCGUAAACGGUGGAUGCUGGAUGUGGGGCCCGUUCCACGGGUUCCGUGUCGGAGCUAACGCGUUAAGCAUCCCGCCUGGGGAGUACGGCCGCAAGGCUAAAACUCAAAGGAAUUGACGGGGGCCCGCACAAGCGGCGGAGCAUGUGGAUUAAUUCGAUGCAACGCGAAGAACCUUACCUGGGCUUGACAUGUUCCCGACGGCCGUAGAGAUACGGCUUCCCUUCGGGGCGGGUUCACAGGUGGUGCAUGGUUGUCGUCAGCUCGUGUCGUGAGAUGUUGGGUUAAGUCCCGCAACGAGCGCAACCCUCGCCCCGUGUUGCCAGCGGAUUGUGCCGGGAACUCACGGGGGACCGCCGGGGUUAACUCGGAGGAAGGUGGGGAUGACGUCAGAUCAUCAUGCCCCUUACGUCCAGGGCUUCACGCAUGCUACAAUGGCCGGUACAACGGGAUGCGACGCGGCGACGCGGAGCGGAUCCCUGAAAACCGGUCUCAGUUCGGAUCGCAGUCUGCAACUCGACUGCGUGAAGGCGGAGUCGCUAGUAAUCGCGAAUCAGCAACGUCGCGGUGAAUGCGUUCCCGGGCCUUGUACACACCGCCCGUCAAGUCAUGAAAGUGGGCAGCACCCGAAGCCGGUGGCCUAACCCCUUGUGGGAUGGAGCCGUCUAAGGUGAGGCUCGUGAUUGGGACUAAGUCGUAACAAGGUAGCCGUACCGGAAGGUGCGGCUG
rnacentral:rRNA from 1 species